rfam:Myotis brandtii contig247293, whole genome shotgun sequence.
GGCAGUUCUCGGGUGACACACCCUGGAAUCGGGCUCCCUCCUCUCUGGUUCCGGGUGUGUCACCUGAGAAUCACA